GGAAGAUGAGAGCCAGAGCAAAGCUCAGAGGAACCAACCUGGACCUGGAGAUGAACCCAGCUAUGUGUCCUCCAAGAGUGACAGGUCAAAGGAUUUUGGUCUUAACUUCAAAGACAGAAGUUCAGGAGUGGAACAAGUGGACCAGCAGAGCUCAGAGACUCCCAGUGGUCCGUCUGUCCAUCAGCAUCAAACACAGCUGGACUCCAUAUUUCUGGUGUGUACAUGAACAACAACUACUUUUCCAUCAUUCUGUUCACAGUCAUCUCCAUGCUGCACUUUGUAGACCAGUGGAUUAUCAG